UUUGGCUCCUGCGUGACAAACAGGUUAAUUGCUUUUGUUAAAAAUUGAGUGGGUGCUGUGCGGUUGAUGGUUGUGAGACAACAAUACCAGUCAGUUAGGACAACUGGUGAGACCAAAUACGAGACUUGAUAUCAAAAUUCUAAGAUUAGAAUUAUUUAGUAGGAGAAGACGGGAAUGAAAAGAAAAUUAUACAAAUUCUAGGUUUAGAAAUAUAAAAAUUAAAAGAAUAAACCCCAAAAGGCCACAGACCCAGGGCUAAGCCCUGCAGCCAGGACUAGCAGGCCAUAAAGAUAAAAGAGCACAAGAAACACUGUCCAGGCAGGACUGACAAGCCAUAAAGAAAAGGAAUGCAGGAACCAGCCUGAGUUAAUGGGACUGAUUCAUGGGACGUCUGGCAGAAAGACAUCUCCCCCCAGCUCACUCAGAGCCAUCCUCCAGACCCUGAUAAGCCCCUGACUUCUAACACGUACUCUUUCUGCUUUGUUCUCACUGCUAUGUUUGAAUGAGCCAAUUGUAUGUAACCAUGCCAAAACCCCCUAGCCUUCUCUAUAUAAUCCUCUGACUUUUGAGUUUCGGGGCCGACACCUCUGUCUCCUGCGCGGGAUACGUGUCGGCCCGGAGAUCUCUGUAAUAGGUCUCCGUAAUAAACCUCGCCUUUGCUUAUUACAUCCAAAA
rnacentral:lncRNA from 1 species